UACGUAGGGAGCAAGCGUUGUCCGGAAUCAUUGGGCGUAAAGCGCGCGUAGGUGGCCCGGUAAGUCCGCUCUGAAAGUCAAAGGCUCAACCUUUGAAAGCGGGUGGAUACUGCCAGGCUAGAGUCCGGAAGAGGCGAGUGGAAUUCCUGGUGUAGCGGUGGAAUGCGCAGAUAUCAGGAGGAACACCGGUGGCGAAGGCGGCAUCCUGGACCGGUAUUGACGCUGAGGCGCGAAAGCUAGGGGAGCAAACGGG
rnacentral:rRNA from 1 species